rnacentral:rRNA from 1 species
CCGUCGGUAGGUGCGGAGGGGAUUAGGGAUGUUCCGGGGGGCUUGGUGGGGGAGCUUGGGAUUGCGGGUAAGGGGGAGCAAGGGGAGAGACUGAGAGCCAAAGCCGCUGCGAGUUUCUGAGGCAGCGGUACCGGUGCGAGCUAGGGCACGGGUGGCUCGAGGGGUGGCCGACGCUGGAACAGGUCAUCUUGGCAGCCCCAGGUGACGAAGCGGAUGUGGCUUCUGGAGUUCGGGUAGCGGAGAGGUAGCGGUCUAGUGGCAGAAGAAGAAGGAGGUCUGCAGCUCGAGGUGGCGCAACUAGGCGUAGUCGAGCCCGAGGAGACCGCAGGGGUUCGGAAGAGCAGUUGUGGGUGGGACUCUGGCGACGACUACGGUGACACUAGCUGAUGCGGCUGCUGCUGGGAGGAAGAACAGACUCGUUGGUC